UACGUAGGGUGCGAGCGUUAAUCGGAAUUACUGGGCGUAAAGCGUGCGCAGGCGGAUUGUUAAGCAAGAUGUGAAAUCCCCGGGCUUAACCUGGGAAUGGCGUUUGAAACUACGGAGCUGGAGUGUGGCAGAGGGAGGUAGAAUUCCACGUGUAGCGGUGAAAUGCGUAGAUAUGUGGAGGAAUACCGAUGGCGAAGGCAGCCUCCUGGGCCAACACUGACGCUCAUGCACGAAAGCGUGGGGAGCAAACAGG
rnacentral:rRNA from 1 species